rnacentral:lncRNA from 1 species
GCCAUCCCCUAGAAAGUGGCGGAGUCUGAGAGGAGCCCCAUUUUGUUCAGGGAGUUCUUGGCUUCCAGCCUCCUGCAGCAGAGGGUGUGCUACCGUCAGCGUCUGCUAGGGGGCAGCAGAGGUCCAGUAUUAUUGCGGAAACACAGUGGCUCUUUCCCCUGGUCUUGUUCUUGGCUCCUGUCCUGUUCCUGCUUUUGUGCCCACUCCUGGUGCUUUCUCAGUUUUAAUCUCUGGUGCCCCACCACUCUGCUUCUUGGAUGGUGGCUUGAGACGCAGCCCCAGAACCACUCCGACAAGGGCAGUAGGUGACAGAGCCCUUGGGCAAGAGGGGCUGAGCUGAGAGGCAGCUGCGCCAGGCCCACCAGAGACGACACGAGCUGUGGAAAACAUGGGUUUCCUUUCACUCUCCAGCGUAACUUAUACAAAGUGCGAUGGAGCUUAAAAACAUGUUUACAGAAUUUCUCAGGCUAGGGUCUGGUUACAGCUUCAAGUGGGCUUGGUCGACCAGUAGUUGUCUGGCUCUCCCCUCUCCACAUUCACGGUGAUGACAAGGUGGGACAGUUACUGUGCUUAUUAAAAAAAAAAAAAUUGUUUUUCUAGACCUUGAUGAUAUAUAUAUAAAUGGUUAAGUGCCAUAAACUCAUGCUUUAUGUAGACAGUUUAAGGAACUGAUAUCACUUGGUUCCUCUUGUUGAAAGUUCUGGAACUUAAAUAAGCCAUCUGCUGAGUGCAGAGAAAGACUUUCUGACAUCUGGGAGUGGGCUCUUUCAUGUCACUGCCUUUUCUCCAGGCGCAAAUACAGACCCUAGAGGGACAAAGGGAGCAGAAGUCACUAGAAACCUUAAUAGCAUGCAUGCUGCAUUCAGUGUCUAUUAGCUGGCUGGUCAACCCCUGUGGGAAGUGGGUUUGCAGCCAUCUCCCGGCAGACCAUGGUGUGAGUUCAGUGCAAUUAUCUCUACCCCCUAGCUCAUUUGGCUCUCUCCAUUGUUUCCAGAGAUGUUUAUAAGCCAAAUGGAGCCGUGGUAACUUUAUAAAAACCUCAUGAAGAAUCCCCACGAUCUACCCAUAACCUCUAAUGCACAGUUAAUGAUGUCCCUAGAAAGCAAUGUGGUAGAGUGGGGAUGGCACCCGCCUGGGGAGCUGCCAGCCUGUCUCAGCUCCUCCCCACCCCUACUCUGCUGCCCUGCAAAUUAUUUGCAUGCACUGCUUGAGCCUCAGUGUCUUUAUUUUUUUAUUUUUAUUUUUUGUCUUUUUACCAUUUCUUGGGCCACUCCUGCGGCAUAUGGAGGUUCCCAGGCCAGGGGUUGAAUCGGAGCUGUAGCCACCAGCCUACGCCAGAGCCACAGCAACGCGGGAUCUGAGCCGAGUCUGCAACCUACACCACAGCUCACGGCAAUGCCGGAUCCUUAACCCACUGCACAAGGCCAGGGAUCGAACCUGAAACCUCAUGGUUCCUAGUCGGAUUUGUUAACCACUGAGCCACGACGGGAACUCCAAGCCUCAGUGUCUUUAUAUGUAAAGCAAUGAUAGCACAGUCUUGGUCUGCUGGAUUCACAGGAUUGUUUUAAGAAGCCAACCAUUGUAGAUGGAAGUUUCUUUGUAAACUGAACAAUGCUGGGCCACUUGCCCUUUUAUUCAUGAUCUCCUGAAAGACUGGGAGGCUCCCUUCCUUACCCUGGGCGCCUCCCUCCCCUCUUACACAGCUUGCUGUCUUGACCAGAGGGGGCAGUAGCCCCCUUGGAUCCAUCCUGGGGGGCCCUGUGCCCAGGGCUUACUCUGGACUGAAGCUGAGUUCAGAAUGCUAGCUAAUUAGCUGAACAAUCUGCAGUCCUGCCUGCAAAGAAACCCUUGGGGGAGCGCGCGGAGUGUGACUCACAUUCCAACUUCCUCAUAAAGACGAAUGUUUUGAGAGUCAUUCUAGCGCUGCAGCCUGGGGUCACACAAUCCAGACACUUGGCUUCUCUUCCAUCCUCAGCAUUCCUUAAGACCUUUCUUUUUAUCAACCUCCCCGCUCCCCAUGCACCAAGGGGCUUAGUCAGAGUGAGGGAUCAAGAGUCCGUCAGAAUAAAGACUCUUCUUUGUCCACAAGGACUGCUGUCAGGCAACCUUUCCACAAGCAGUCCUGGCCAGACCCAGGGUCUUUCUUCAGACACGUGAAGAGCAGAAUCAAAAGGGACCAGCAGAGCAUCUAGUCUAACAGAUCUGUUUGUAAAGGGCUAAAUGGUGCCCAGAAAGGAAGGUAGUGGAGGAUAAUGGACCUGUCCUGGUGUCUUGGUACCUGCUGUGUGUAAGCCUUGCAUGGGGCUUACUUGAUCUCCAAAGCAGCCCCAGGGAGGGGAAGCACUGCCCUUCUCAUGGAGGAGGAGAUGGAUCUCAGAUGGGGGAGGUGAUUCCCCGAGACCACACCAUUAGCUUCAAGACGAGACCAGAUCUGCCGGCUCAUGGAUUUUUUCCUUUAGGCGGAUGUUUACCAAGGACCAGGAAGCAGCAGUGAAAGGAUACUUGGCUUCAGUGACUGUCUGUGGGUCUGGGCCUCCUGUCCUCAAAGUGGGAGAAUCACACCUGCUCUGUGGGUGGGAAGAGGAGGAGAUGGAUUCCUCUAUGUAAAGAUACCUCCUCCCACAUUUGAGGUGCUUAGCAAACGUGUUCUCACCUCUCCUGACUCCACUGUUCUUUCUUCCUUGGAGAGUGGGUUCUUGGGAUU